rnacentral:rRNA from 1 species
UACGUAGGUGACCAGCGUUGUCCGGAUUUACUGGGCGUAAAGAGCGCGCAGGCGGUCGUUCAAGUCGAGUGUGAAAGCCCCCGGCUCAACUGGGGAGGGUCACUCGAUACUGAUCGACUUGAAGGCAGGAGAGGGAAGCGGAAUUCCCGGUGUAGUGGUGAAAUGCGUAGAUAUCGGGAGAACACCAGUGGCGAAGGCGGCUUCCUGGCCUGUUCUUGACGCUGAGGCGGCG